CCGGGCUCACGGCGGCGGGCAUCCGGCGGUGGUGGUCGCGGGUGUCUCGAGGGUUGGGGCUCGAGGAGGAGGGCACGCGGAAGAGGGGUCGGAAGGAGUGCGCAGCAGCCCGCUGGCCGCGGCGGUGGUCGCUGGUAGGUCCUCGAGUCGCGGUCGCGGUACCUACGGGUCAGGAGCUCGAGUGGAACCUCCAAGCUUGCGGCGGUGCCCUGGAGGUGGCCGGUCUAGGCCGCGGAGGGAGGGGCCUAGGCGCGCGGGAGGUGGAGGAGAUGGGCUAGACCGCGGGGUGGGUGGAGGGGUGGUACGGGGCGCCCGGCGACCGGCGGAGGACGGGGCAGGGCGGAGUCACGCGCGGCGGCCCGCGGAAUACGGAGGGUUAGGGUAGAGGAGGAGUGGGCGCCGAAGAAGCGGCAAGUGCCGAGGGCUUCGAGCUCGCCCGGCUAGAUGCGCAGCCACUGGAGCACCCUCCGUCUCCUACCCUACCACACGACACGAGCUCUUCUCACCCGAGCUCAUUCCCCUAACCUCCCACCGCAGCCGCCCGAGCGCCUGCCCCUACCUCUCCCGCCAACGAACGUUCUAGUUCCGACCCGUCCGGCCUUAACUAGAUUUUUUUGUCCUAGCACCGUCUAACAAUAGCGAUCGUUCCUGAGUGACUAGAGACUACACCGAGAGUUACCACUACGCUACGUUUUACCUGUUUAGGUAGUAGCAAUCAGACGACGACAACCGAAGAAGACUCGAUGAUUAUAGUCUAAUCGCGACUAAACCCCUCAUUUCGAGAAGCUCGUUCACUGUUUUUAGUUCAGAAGACUCGUAGAGUUUCUACCGCUGGACUUCAGCAAACUGACCGUCGAAUUUUCGUUAAUUUCACGUGUCUCUUUAGUUUGAAAAUUUCGGUGAGAACGGUAAACACCUGACAAGGACGAACAACCACUGACGAAAACGCUCAUACAAGUGAGAGUAGAUGAGGGAAGCAAGGUUUUAUCUACUCAGAUGAAACAUAAUUGAAAUCAUGUUUCAAUGUUUCAACUCAGUAGAUAAAACCUUGCCUCCCUCAUCGUUACUUUAUAAAACAGAGACAACGCGUCGGCGACUUUCCCGUUUGAGGUCUAGGAUCUAUAGAUACCCAAAACCCACGGGAGACCCCAAUGGACUUACAAGGAUAAAGACAAAGAAGAAGGGAAGAAUCAAAAGAAAUACUACAUCUACUUGUUAACCAAACACAAUUAUCUUAAGUCUCUCCUCCGAGAGAAAAUCUUUUAGAUUACUCCCCUCUGACUUACUGGCUCACAUCUACUGUGACUGGUUCAAAUCAUCAUACACUAGGAUGUACAGCGAGGUAAUUAAGAAGAUCUAUUAAGGACAUACGAAUUGACAAAGGAGUAAGUCAGGUUAUUGCUACUGUCUAGG
rnacentral:rRNA from 1 species